rnacentral:rRNA from 1 species
GUUAAGUCCCGCAACGAGCGCAACCCUUAUGUUUAGUUACUAACAUUCAGUUGAGGACUCUAGACAGACUGCCCUUGAAAGAGGGAGGAAGGUGGGGACGACGUCAAAUCAUCAUGCCCCUUACGACCUGGGCUACACACGUGCUACAAUGGUCUGUACAGAGGGUUGCGAAGCAGUGAUGCUAAGCUAAUCUCAAAAAGCAGAUCUCAGUUCGGAUUGCAGGCUGCAACUCGCCUGCAUGAAGUCGGAGUUGCUAGUAAUCGCGAAUCAGAAUGUCGCGGUGAAUGCGUUCCCGGGCCUUGUACACACCGCCCGUCACACCACGAGAGUUGGUAACACCCGAAGCCAGUGAGCUAACCAUUAGGAGGCAGCUGUCGAAGGUGGGAUCAGUAAUUGGGGUGAAGUCGUAACAAGGUAGCCGUAUCGGAAG